GGCCAGACUCCUACGGGAGGCAGCAGUGGGGGAUAUUGCACAAUGGGGGAAACCCUGAUGCAGCGACGCCGCGUGGGUGAAGAAGUAUUUCGGUAUGUAAAGCCCUAUCAGCAGGGAAGAAAGAAGACGGUACCUGACUAAGAAGCCCCGGCUAACUACGUGCCAGCAGCCGCGGUAAUACGUAGGGGGCGAGCGUUAUCCGGAUUCACUGGGUGUAAAGGGAGCGUAGACGGCCGUGCAAGCCAGGAGUGAAAGCCCGGGGCCCAACCCCGGGACUGCUCUUGGAACUGUGCGGCUGGAGUGCGGGAGGGGCAGGCGGAAUUCCUGGUGUAGCGGUGAAAUGCGUAGAUAUCAGGAGGAACACCGGCGGCGAAGGCGGCCUGCUGGACCGUGACUGACGUUGAGGCUCGAGAGCGUGGGGAGCAAACAGGAUUAGAUACCCGUGUA
rnacentral:rRNA from 1 species